rnacentral:tRNA from 1 species
AAAGGGCUGGUUAAUUUAUAACAUAAACUUGUCAAGUUUAAGUUGCCCAGUAUGGGUGCUCUUUU